UGGGGAAUAUUGGAUAAUGGGGGCAACCCUGAUCCAGCCAUGCCGCGUGAGUGAUGAAGGCCUUAGGGUUGUAAAGCUCUUUCACCGGUGAAGAUAAUGACGGUAACCGGAGAAGAAGCCCCGGCUAACUUCGUGCCAGCAGCCGCGGUAAUACGAAGGGGGCUAGCGUUGUUCGGAAUUACUGGGCGUAAAGCGCACGUAGGCGGAUUGUUAAGUCGAGGGUGAAAUCCCAGGGCUCAACCCUGGAACUGCCUUCGAUACUGGCAUUCUUGAGUCCGAGAGAGGUGAGUGGAAUUCCGAGUGUAGAGGUGAAAUUCGUAGAUAUUCGGAAGAACACCAGUGGCGAAGGCGGCUCACUGGCUCGGAACUGACGCUGAGGUGCGAAAGCGUGGGGAGCAAAACAGGAUUAGAUACCCUGGUAGUCCACGCCGUAAACGAUGGGUGCUAGCCGUUGGGCAGCUUGCUGUUCAGUGGCGCCGCAACGCUUUAAGCACCCCGCCUGGGGAGUAGGUCGCAA
rnacentral:rRNA from 1 species